GGUAGAGAUUGAGGAGGGGGUAGAGAUUGAGGUGGGGGGAGAGAUUGAGGAGGGGGGAGAGAUUGAGGAGGGGGAGAGAUUGAGGUGUAGGGAGAGAAUGAGGAGGAGAGAGAUUGAGGAGGGGAGAGAGAUUGAGGUGUGGGGAGAGAGAUUGAGGUGUGGGGAGAGAGAUUGAGGUGUGGGGAGAGAGAUUGCGGAAGGGGGAGAGAUUGAGGUGUGGGGAGAGAGUUGGAGGUGUGUAUGUAAAUGAUGCAGGUGCAGAAAUCAUCCUCUCAUCAGGAGAGACAUUAUCCAUGUACACAAUUAUUCACCUUCUGCUGCUUCCUGCUUCCCCCAGAUACACCAGACCUGCUUCUGACACAGAGGAGUGUUGCUGCUAAUUGCAGACAUUGUGUGUGUGUGUUCCAGAGAUCAGCUAACUGCCACUACCGGCCCCUUUGAUCUCUAACGGAGGAGGUACAG
ensembl:lncRNA